UACGGGAGGCAGCAGUAAGGAAUAUUGUUCAAUGGGAGAAAUCCUGAAGCAGCAACGCCGCGUGGAGGAUGAAAUACUUUUGUAUGUAAAAUCUCGUGUGAAGGGAAAAAUACACAGUUUUUUUGUGUUGAUUGUACCUUCAGAGUAAGCCCGGGCAAACUACGUGCCAGCAGCCGCGGUAAUAGGUAGGGGGCAAGCGUUUUCGGGAUUUAUUGGGUGUAAAAGGUGCUCAGGUGGAUUUGUAAGUGAGAGGUGAAAUCCCAAAGCUCAACCUUGGAUCUGCCUUUGAUACUGCAAGUCUUGAGUGUGAGAGAGGGUGAUGGAAUUUCUAGUGUAGCAGUGAAAUGCGUAGAUAUUAGAAAGAACACCAAUGGCGAAGGCAGUCUUCUGGCUCAAAACUGACACUAAAGCACGAAAGAGUGGGGAGCGAACAGGAUUAGAUACCCCGGUAGUCCACACCCUAAACAAUGGAUACUAGAUGUUGGUCACUUUUACAAGGUCAGUAUCCAAGCUAACGCG
rnacentral:rRNA from 1 species